rnacentral:snRNA from 1 species
GAGCUCCCUUGGGAGCCCCUAUUCUAUAGCUGGUACCAUUCAGAGAAGAUCAGCAUGGCCCCUGUGCCAGGAUGACAUGCCAUUUAUAUAUUUAUUUUAU